UACAGAGGGUGCGAGCGUUUGUCCGGAAUCACUGGGCGUAAAGGGCGCGUAGGUGGCACGACAAGUCAGUGGUGAAAGCUCGACGCUCAACGUCGAGUCGGCCACUGAUACUGUUGGGCUGGAGCACUGUAGAGGCAGAUGGAAUUCCGGGUGUAGCGGUGGAAUGCGUAGAGAUCCGGAAGAACACCGGUGGCGAAGGCGACACGCUGGGCCGUACCUGACACUGAUGCGCGACAGCAUGGGGAGCAAACAGG
rnacentral:rRNA from 1 species